rnacentral:rRNA from 1 species
UACGUAGGGUCCGAGCGUUGUCCGGAAUUACUGGGCGUAAAGAGCUCGUAGGUGGUUUGUCGCGUUGUUCGUGAAAACUCACAGCUUAACUGUGGGCGUGCGGGCGAUACGGGCAGACUUGAGUACUGCAGGGGGAGACUGGAAUUCCUGGUGUAGCGGUGGAAUGCGCAGAUAUCAGGAGGGAACACCGGUGGGCGAAGG